UCCAUUCAUUAAAAUAUAUUGUAAGGCCAUCCAUCUUAGUCGUUUGACUUCUGAAGGAUCUGCAGGUAGAAUUCAAUCAGUAAGGUACUGGACGAUCGAAUCCAUCCAGCUUGGCUCGUCAUUGACUUGUAGCACUUCUUCGACUUUGUCAAUGCUCGACUGUUCGAGACAUUCGAUGAAUGUCCGACCUAGUGAGUUAAACAAAGUAGUUGCA
rnacentral:lncRNA from 1 species